rfam:Clostridium sp. TSBA 49 genome assembly, contig: Ga0111601_115
GCUUCUGUAGCUCAGAUGGUAGAGCAACUGAUUCGUAAUCAGUAGGUCGUGGGUUCAAGUCCCAUCGGAAGCU